rnacentral:rRNA from 1 species
UACAGAGGUCUCAAGCGUUGUUCGGAUUCAUUGGGCGUAAAGGGUGCGUAGGUGGCGCGCUAAGUCAGGUGUGAAAUUUCGGAGCUUAACUCCGAAACUGCAUUUGAUACUGGCGUGCUUGAGGACUGGAGAGGAGACUGGAAUUCAUGGUGUAGCGGUGAAAUGCGCAGAUAUCAGGAGGAACACCGAUGGCGAAGGCAGGUCUCUGGGCCACUACUGACGCUGAGAAGCGAAAGCAUGGGGAGCGAACAGG